rnacentral:rRNA from 1 species
GUCUACAGCCAUACCACCCUGAACGCACCCUGUCUCGUCUGAUCUUGGAAGCUAAACGGGGGCAGGCCUGGUUAGUAAUUGAAUGGGAGAACCACUGUCCUGGAGGAA